GCGGGGGUAGCCAAGCGGUCAACGGCGACAGACUCAAGAUCUGUUCUCGAAGGAGUUCACGGGUUCGAAUCCCUUCCCCCGCA
rnacentral:tRNA from 1 species